rfam:Triticum aestivum genome assembly, contig: Triticum_aestivum_CS42_TGACv1_scaffold_134772_2BL
UUUGUACUCCCUCCGUCCGAAAAUACUUGUCAUCAAAAUGAACAAAAAAAAUGCAUGUAGAACUUAAAUAUAUUUAGAUACAUCUCCGUUUAUUUAUUUUGAUGACAAGUAUUUCCGGACGGAGAAAGUAGAAA